GCCAGAUAUUGAGAAACCCUGCCAAAUGCAUAAGGAAACUACCCAAAUUAGGGAAGGUUCAAAAGUUUAAGAAGAAGAUGAUGGUGAGGACAGCGGGUUCAUGAUGAAGAAAGACCGGAACGACCACCAAAGUUCUCCCCAAAUUGAAGACCACGCCUCUAACUCCGCCUCAACUCCGCCUAUUAUGAAUAUUAAAAGUAGAUGUUGCAAUGUAAUGAAUAUUCAUAAUAUGUGAUGUAAUUGCUUAGCAAAAGGUGUAUAAAAGCUCAAAUUGUAAGUUCUUCGGUGAAGCAGUUUGCCCAGGGCGACCUGGCUGCUUCCCGGCCGUGAAAAAUAAAUACCUCCUGCUUAUAGACUGAAAACUCUGUCUCUGAGCAGUUCCUCUGCGCCUUCUUUGGGGCAAAAUUUGGCAUCAAUUUUGGCGAGCCAGGCAGGAGAGGGGGGUCUUCCUGAGCCAGGACCCAAGGGGCCGGGACGCUCUCAGGGCCCCCCGACUGAAUUUUUGUCGGCAGAGUCUCCCGGACCCCUUGGAUCUGCGCAACGGUGGACAAGAAUCUCCUGCUCUAAAUUAAGAGGUAUUUGAUCUUUUAUAUUUUAGGUAAAAGCGCUUUAUUGGUGGGGAUAGGACGCUAUCGCCCAAAAGGGAGCCGGAGGGACGCCUCGGCAUUAGCCCUAAAACUGGGUUCGAGUCCCAGGUAUCGAAAGCAGCAGGUUAGAGUCCUGCAAAGAUAGCAGGUUAGAGUCCUGCAAAGACAGCAGGUUAGAGUCCUGCAAAGAUAGCAGGUUAGAGUCCUGCAAAGAUAGCAGGUUAGAGUCCUGCAAAGAUAGCAGGUUAGAGUCCUGCAAAGGUAGCAGGUUAGAGGCCUGCCAGAAAAGGGUUAAAGUCCCAACACACCAGAAAAAAAAAAAAAAAAAAAAAAAAAAAAAAAAAAAAAAAAAAAAAGAGGAUGAGGAAGUUGCUAAAGUUAUAGUGGUAGCAGUAGCAGCCCAAAGCUCAAGGUUCCCGGAGAUAAAUACUAGAGGCAGAGGUCGUGGUUACCCUGCAAGGGGAAGAGGAGGUUUCCUUUCCCAACAAACCAGAAUAAAGUCAAAACAGUGUUCCUAUUGCUUGCAAAUAGGUCACUGAAAACGAGACCGUCCUAAAUUAAAUAGGAAGUUUAAGAGUG